GAUGAACGCUGGCGGCGUGCUUAACACAUGCAGGUCGAACGGAAAGGCCCAAGCUUGCUUGGGUACUCGAGUGGCGAACGGGUGAGUAACACGUGGGUGAUCUGCCCUGCACUUCGGGAUAAGCCUGGGAAACUGGGUCUAAUACCGGAUAGGACCACAUUUUGGAUGGUGUGGUGGAAAGUUUUUCGGUGUGGGAUGAGCUCGCGGCCUAUCAGCUUGUUGGUGGGGUAAUGGCCUACCAAGGCGUCGACGGGUAGCCGGCCUGAGAGGGUGUACGGCCACAUUGGGACUGAGAUACGGCCCAGACUCCUACGGGAGGCAGCAGUGGGGAAUAUUGCACAAUGGGCGCAAGCCUGAUGCAGCGACGCCGCGUGGGGGAUGACGGCCUUCGGGUUGUAAACGCCUUUCGCUAGGGACGAAGCGUUAUGUGACGGUACCUGGAGAAGAAGCACCGGCUAACUACGUG
rnacentral:rRNA from 1 species